AGUUCGAUUAUGGCUCAGAUUGAACGCUGGCGGGAUGUGCAUUUACACAUGCAAGUCGAACGGCAGCACGGACUUCCAGUCUGGUGGCGAGUGGCGAACAGGUGAGUAAUGUAUCGGAACGUGCCUAGUAGCGGGGAUAACUACGCGAAAGCUAGUUAAUGCCGCCCUUCGGGGAAAGCGGGGGACCUUCGGGCCUCGCACUUUAUUAGAGCGGCCGAUAUCGGAUUAGCUAGUUGGUGGGGUAACGGCUCACCAAGCGACGAUCCGUAGCUGGUUUGAAGAGGACGACCAGCCGCACUGGGACUGGUUGCGGCCCAGACUCCUACGGGAGGCAGCAGUGGGGAAUUUUGGACAAUGGAAACCUGAUCCAGCCAUCCCGCGUGUGCGAUGAGAGCCUUCUGGCCAUAAAGCACUUUUUGGCAGGAAAGAAACGGCACGGGAUAAUACCCCGUGCAACUGACGGUACCUGCAGAAUAAGCACCGGCUAACUACGUGCCAGCAGCCGCGGUAAUACGUAGGGUGCAAGCGUUAAUCGAAUUACUGGGCGUAAAGCGUGCGCAGGCGGUUCGGAAAGAAAGAUCUUGAAAUCCCAGGCUUAACUUUGGAACUGCAUUUUUAACUACCGAGCUAGAGUGUGUCAGAGGAGGUGGAAUUCCGCGUGUAGCAGUGAAAUGCGUAGAUAUGCGGAGGGAACACCGAUGGCGAAGGCAGCCUCCUGGGAUAACACUGACGCUCAUGCACGAAAGCGUGGGAGCAAACAGGAUUAGAUACCCUGGUAGUCCACGCCCUAAACGAUGUCAAUAGCUGUUGGGGCCUUCGGGCCUUGGUAGCGCAGCUAACGCGUGAGUUGACCGCCUGGGAAGUACGGUCGCAAGAUUAAAACUCAAAGGAAUUGACGGGGACCCGCACAAGCGGUGGAUGAUGUGGAUUAAUUCGAUGCAACGCGAAAAACCUUACCUACCCUUGACAUGUCUGGAAUCCCGAAGAGAUUUGAGGAGUGCUCGCAAGAGAACCGGAACACAGGUGCUGCAUGGCUGUCGUCAGCUCGUGUCGUGAGAUGUUGGGUUAAGUCCCGCAACGAGCGCAACCCUUGUCAUUAGUUGCUACGAAAGGGCACUCUAAUGAGACUGCCGGUGACAAACCGGAGGAAGGUGGAGAUGACGUCAAGUCCUCAUGGCCCUUAUGGGUAGGGCUUUACACGUCAUACAAUGGACGGGACAGAGGGUCGCCAACCCGCGAGGGAAGACCAAUCCAGAAACCCGAUCGUAGUGGAUCGCAGUCUGCAACUCGACUGCGUGAAGUCGGAAUCGCUAGUAAUCGCGGAUCAGCAUGUCGCGUUAUGAAUAUUCCCGGGUCUUGUACACACCGCCCGUCACACCAUGGGAGUGGGUUUUACCAAGUAGUUAGCCUAACCGUAAGGGAGGGCGAUUACCACGGUAGGAUUCAUGACUGGGGUGAAGUCGUAACAAGGUAG
rnacentral:rRNA from 1 species